rnacentral:rRNA from 1 species
CACGUAGGGACCAAGCGUUGUCCGGAUUCAUUGGGCGUAAAGAGCUCGUAGGCGGCUCAGUAAGUCGGGUGUGAAACCUUCAGGCUCAACCUGGAGACGCCACCCGAUACUGCUGUGGCUAGAGUCCAGUAGGGGAGCGUGGAAUUCCUGGUGUAGCGGUGAAAUGCGCAGAUAUCAGGAAGAACACCAAUGGCGAAGGCAGCUCUCUGGGACGGUACUGACGCUGAGACGCGAAAGCGUGGGGAGCGAACAGG